UUUGAAGUUUGAUUCCUGGUUCAGGAAGAAAGCUGGCCGGCAUGCUUAAUACAUGCCAGUUGGAACGUGGAAGCACUCUGCUUGCAGAGUGCGGAUGAGUGGCGAACGGGUGAGUAACACGUGGGAAAUCUGCCUAGGAGUAGGGGAUAACAUUCGGAAACGGAUGCUAAUACCGCAUAUCUUUUUGAACCGCAUGGUUCUUAAACGAAAGACGGCUUCGGCUGUCGCUCUUAGAUGAUCCCGCGGCGUAUUAGUUAGUUGGUGGGGUAAAGGCCUACCAAGACCAUGAUACGUAGCCGACCUGAGAGGGUGAUCGGCCACACUGGGACUGAGACACGGCCCAGACUCCUACGGGAGGCAGCAGUAGGGAAUCUUCCACAAUGGGUGAAAACCUGAUGGAGCAAUGCCGCGUGAAUGAAGAAGGUCUUCGGAUCGUAAAGUUCUGUUAUUAGAGAAGAACAAGUCAAGGAGUAACUGUCUUGACUUUGACGGUACCUAACCAGAAAGCCACGGCUAACUACGUGCCAGCAGCCGCGGUAAUACGUAGGUGACAAGCGUUGUCCGGAAUUAUUGGGCGUAAAGGGAGCGCAGGCGGUUGGAAUAGUCUGAUGUGAAAGCCCACGGCUUAACCGUGGAAGGUCAUUGGAAACUGUCCAACUUGAAUACAGAAGAGGUAAGUGGAAUUCCAAGUGUAGCGGUGAAAUGCGUAGAUAUAUGGAGGAACACCAGUGGCGAAGGCGACUUAUUGGUCUGUAAUUGACGCUGAGGCUCGAAAGCGUGGGUAGCGAACAGGAUUAGAUACCCUGGUAGUCCACGCUGUAAACGAUGAGUGCUAGGUGUUGGAGGGUUUCCGCCCUUCGGUGCCGGAGCUAACGUAU
rnacentral:rRNA from 1 species